UUAAAUAUCUAUAUAGAAGGGCACCAUAACAGCUGUGGGCUACAUCUGACUUCCCACUAAUAGGCAGUAAAUUCCUAUGAAUUUUAUAUGUAUUCUUAAUGGUGAUCUCUAUAAUGGGUCUUAGAUGAUGGUAGAUCUGAAAUAUCAGAUGCAGUGACUAUGCAGAUGAAGCUUCAGUUAAUGUGAACAUAACCUUGUCACCAA
rnacentral:lncRNA from 1 species